rnacentral:lncRNA from 1 species
AGCCAAGUGUUCCCUCAUCUAUUGGCCUAACUUGAUAAAUGUGCGUUGAAUUUAGAUGCAAUUUUCAAAUCAUUAAAUGUGUUUCUCUAGCAGCUGGAGAGUUUAUGAGGGAUGGUGCCUUUGCUUGCUCUGAAGACAUGGUCGGUGAAAUGAAAACUUGUUCUGAAGCCCGGCCAAGUGUUGAAAACCAGUCUUCUACUUUAUCUGAUUCUGAAAUGGGCUUACCAGCUCGUGUCACUUCUAUUGUUUGUGCUGCUCAUAAUGGAUUUCAGGAUUCUGCAAAUUAUGGAGACUGUUAUUUCCAACCAUUCUGCACCUACUACUGGCUACAAGGUAAAGAGAAUUUGGGAGGAAUCUAUAUACUUAACUUUCACAUUUGAAUCACAUUAAUGGAUCUUAAAACUGAGUUCACUAAAGUAGCUCUAUUUAUCUUGAUUUGUAGUUCUCGUAGUGAAUAGAUCUAUCCUUUAUUAUUUUUCGUAGGAUUUGAACAGCAUGUAUCUAAAUAUGUGACUGAUGACAUUUUAAAUGAGCUUAAUGAGUGUCCAAAUUAUUUGAAUUAAGUCAUUAUUUAAUUAGUUCCGCAUAUUGUACCAAUCAGCAGUUAUGAGCACUUUAGCUUUGUGUUAGGACUUAAACAUGAUCAGAGAGUUUUAUGGGUUAAGAAUUAUGAUUUUGUUAUUAUAUUCACUAAUUUCUAACAUUGUCGUCCUCUUAAGAGUCACGUUUAUGAUAAUUUUUAUUCUAUUGAACCUAAUGAUAAUUUUUUCUCUAAUCAUUUGGGUUGAACUUUUCUCAGAUAUAUAAGUCGUAACAUUUGAUACCAAGUCAAAAAGAAUAUUGCAUUUUCCAUUAACAUUUUUUUCUUCUAAAUAAAUUAAUCAAACAAACAGGUAGUUGAUUAAGGGUGAUUCAUAUAUAAAGACUUGAACUUGAGUUUUGCAUACAGAGAAAAUUGCCACGGGAAUAGCUUACCCUACUAUGUUGUUGAAUGUCCCUACCAGCAGAAUUGUGUCAUAUAAAAAACACUAAUUACCAGACUAGAAAACAAAAAAAUAUAUAUAAUAUUUAAGUUUAUAAAAUAAUUUAAUUCUUUAUAUGGAAUAGAAAUUUUGUUUAAUAAGUGCUCUAAAGUUUGUAUUUUAAAAUGAUUUAAUUAUUUACAUGGAAUAUAAAUUUUGUUCAUUAACAGCUCUAUAAAUGAGAACUUAUUACUCUAUCUGAAGUUUCAUAUUCUGCCACAAGACCCAUACUAUCAUGCCUUCUCUAUUUGGAUGAUGUAGGCAUCCACUUCUCCCUGUACUGUAGAAAAAGGCUAAAAAAAUGAGAAAUAAAAUGUUUGGUUAUAUAGAAAAUGAAGAGAAAUAAUUGAUUUUUUCUUCCUCCACUCUCGACAAUGGUCUAUUGUUCCAAAUUGUGUUUUAAACCAUAUACUAAAUCAAUGAAAAUAUAUAUGUUAAUUAAAAAAAUUAAAUAUUUAUUUUUUACUUUAAUAUGAUUGGAUAAUAUAAUUUAUGAUACAGUUUGGACAAUAUAUCUUAUUCUAUUUUCCCUCCCAUUUUCUCUUUUAUGACAUGGGAGGAGAGAAAUUUUG